AAGCCACGGCUCAACCGUGGAGGGUCAUUGGAAACUGGGAGACUUGAGUGCAGAAGAGGAAAGUGGAAUUCCAUGUGUAGCGGUGAAAUGCGUAGAGAUAUGGAGGAACACCAGUGGCGAAGGCGACUUUCUGGUCUGUAACUGACACUGAGGCGCGAAAGCGUGGGGGAGCAAACAGGAUUAGAUACCCUGGUAGUCCACGCCGUAAACGAUGAGUGCUAAGUGUUAGAGGUUUCCGCCCUUUAGUGCUGAAGUUAACGCAUUAAGCACUCCGCCUGGGGAGUACGCCGCAAGGCUGAAACUCAAAGGAAUUGACGGGGCCCGCACAAGCGGUGGAGCAUGUGGUUAAUUCGAAGCAACGCGAAGAACCUUACCAGGUCUUGACAUCCUCUGAAAACCCUAGAGAUAGGGCUUCUCCUUCGGGAGCAGAGUGACAGUGGUGCAUGGUUGUCGUCAGCUCGUGUCGUGAGAUGUGGGUUAAGUCCCGCAACGAGCGCAACCCUUGAUCUUAGUUGCCAUCAUUUAGUUGGGCACUCUAAGGUGACUGCCGGUGACAAACCGGAGGAAGGUGGGGAUGACGUCAAAUCAUCAUGCCCUUAUGACCUGGGCUACACACGUGCUACAAUGGACGGUACAAAGAGCUGCAAGACCGCGAGGUGGAGCUAAUCUCAUAAAACCGUUCUCAGUUCGGAUUGUAGGCUGCAACUCGCCUACAUGAAGCUGGAAUCGCUAGUAAUCGCGGAUCAGCAUGCCGCGGUGAAUACGUUCCCGGGCCUUGUACACACCCGUCACACCACGAGAGUUUGUAACACCCGAAGUCGGUGGGGUAACCUUUUUGGAGCCAGCCGCCUAAGGUGGGACAGAUGAUUGGGGUGAAGUCGUAACAAGGUAGCCGUAUCGGAAGGUGCGGCUGGAUCACCUCCUUUCUUUUAUUGGAGAGUUUGAUCCUGGCUCAGGAUGAACGCUGGCGGCGUGCCUAAUACAUGCAAGUCGAGCGAAUGGAUUAAGAGCUUGCUCUUAUGAAGUUAGCGGCGGACGGGUGAGUAACACGUGGGUAACCUGCCCAUAAGACUGGGAUAACUCCGGGAAACCGGGGCUAAUACCGGAUAACAUUUUGAACUGCAUGGUUCGAAAUUGAAAGACGGCUUCGGCUGUCACUUAUGGAUGGACCCGCGUCGCAUUAGCUAGUUGGUGAGGUAACGGCUCACCAAGGCAACGAUGCGUAGCCGACCUGAGAGGGUGAUCGGCCACACUGGGACUGAGACACGGCCCAGACUCCUACGGGAGGCAGCAGUAGGGAAUCUUCCGCAAUGGACGAAAGUCUGACGGAGCAACGCCGCGUGAGUGAUGAAGGCUUUCGGGUCGUAAAACUCUGUUGUUAGGGAAGAACAAGUGCUAGUUGAAUAAGCUGGCACCUUGACGGUACCUAACCAGAAAGCCACGGCUAACUACGUGCCAGCAGCCGCGGUAAUACGUAGGUGGCAAGCGUUAUCCGGAAUUAUUGGGCGUAAAGCGCGCGCAGGUGGUUUCUUAAGUCUGAUGUGAAAGC
rnacentral:rRNA from 1 species